UACGUAGGGUGCAAGCGUUGUCCGGAAUUAUUGGGCGUAAAGAGCUCGUAGGCGGUCUGUCGCGUCGGCUGUGAAAACCCGGGGCUCAACCCCGGGCCUGCAGUCGAUACGGGCAGACUAGAGUGCGGUAGGGGAGACUGGAAUUCCUGGUGUAGCGGUGAAAUGCGCAGAUAUCAGGAGGAACACCGGUGGCGAAGGCGGAUCUCUGGGCCGUAACUGACGCUGAGGAGCGAAAGCGUGGGGAGCGAACAGG
rnacentral:rRNA from 1 species